UACGGGGGAUGCAAGCGUUAUCCGGAAUCAUUGGGCGUAAAGCGCCUGUAGGUUGUUUAAUAAGUCUGUUGUUAAAGACUGGGGCUUAACCCCAGGAAAGCAAUGGAAACUACUAGACUAGAGUAUGGUAGGGGUAAAGGGAAUUUCUAGUGUAGCGGUGAAAUGCGUAGAUAUUAGAAAGAACACCGGUGGCGAAAGCGCUUUACUGGACCAUUACUGACACUCAGAGGCGAAAGCUAGGGUAGCCAAAGGGAUUAGAUACCCCUGUAGUCCUAGCCGUAAACGAUGGAUACUAGAUGUUGCGCUUAUUGUGCAGUGUCGUAGCUAACGCGCUAAGUUGACCGCCUGGGGAGUACGGUCGCAAGAUUA
rnacentral:rRNA from 1 species